GCUGGGUGUGGUGAUGCAGGCCUAUAAUCCCAGCCGCUUAGGAGGCUGAGGCAGGAGGAUCGCAGGUUCAGAGGCAGACUCUGCAACUUAGCAAGGCCCUAGGCAACCCAGAGAGACCUUGUCUCUA
rnacentral:sRNA from 1 species